GACGAACGCUGGCGGCGUGCUUAACACAUGCAAGUCGAACGGAAAGGCCCUGCUUGCAGGGUACUCGAGUGGCGAACGGGUGAGUAACACGUGGGUGAUCUGCCCUGCACUUCGGGAUAAGCCUGGGAAACUGGGUCUAAUACCGGAUAGGAGACAUUUUUAGUGUGAUGGUUGGAAAGUUUUUUCGGUGUAGGAUGAGCUCGCGGCCUAUCAGCUUGUUGGUGGGGUAAUGGCCUACCAAGGCGGCGACGGGUAGCCGGCCUGAGAGGGUGGACGGCCACAUUGGGACUGAGAUACGGCCCAGACUCCUACGGGAGGCAGCAGUGGGGAAUAUUGCACAAUGGGCGCAAGCCUGGUGCAGCGACGCCGCGUGGGGGAUGACGGCCUUCGGGUUGUAAACUCCUUUCGCUAGGGACGAAGCUUUUUGUGACGGUACCUAGAUAAGAAGCACCGGCUAACUACGUG
rnacentral:rRNA from 1 species